ensembl:miRNA
AACGACCUCCACAGGGUCUGGAUCCUGCAUCAGGACUCGGAUCUGGAGGUUUUUCU